rnacentral:lncRNA from 1 species
CCCAGUGCCGCCAGAGCCAGGCGCGGUCGGCCGCCGCCGACACGGGCGCACGGCGCAUGCGCGUGCGUUGAUCGAUCUCGUUGGGCGGCGGGCUCGCCCCCAGGGCCACGGCGCCGGCGAUCAUAGGCGCGGCCAAAAGUAGGCUCACCAUGGCCGGCAUCCACCGGUAGAUCUGCUGUCGGUCGGCAACGGCACCCAGGCAGUCAUCAUUGCCAUUGUCGCCCGAGCACAUGCCGAGCACGUGGCGGCCGACGAGGGGCGAAAAGGCCCGCGACAAGGGCGCCGACAAGAGCAUGCACGCCGUGGCGACGGGCAUGAUCACAUCCGACGCGCGCCGCCCCUGCGCAUAGUCGAUGUAGGCGCAAAAGGCCCAUGAGAAAAAGAGCGACCCGGCAAAGCGGCUGCCGACGCGCACGACGACGUCGUCGACGGCAAACAGCAGGUUGGGCACGCCCGUAAACAGCAACGAAUAGACGACCAGACCGACCGGGCGGCGCCAACCACCGACGACAGCACGCCGCACCGUGCCCGACAGGGCCGACGCGAACCCGAGAGGCAUGGCGACGCCGCGCGCAAUCGACAUGAGGGCCUUGGUCGUGUAGGCACCAUCGCCGGGCCGAUCGGCGAUCUCGUCGGUGAGCGUAAACACGGCGUAGGUGGGCACGAGCGUCGCCACCCAGUAGACGCUCGCCGCCACGGUCAUCCACGCCGCCGUGACCCACACGCGCUCGCCCAUCCAUUCACGCAGAGACGUCGGAUGGAGAGGCGCAUGCAACGCCGCGCCCGUGCGCGGGCGACCCAACGACGGCGACAAGAGGGCCGUCGUCUCGGUCGGCUCGUCUCGGCCGCUGUGCGUUGCCGCCAUUCUUUCGAUUGUAUUUUCGAGUUUUUUCUCGGCGGCACGUGGGUCUGCCGGAUCUAAAAAUACAAUCCUCUUGUUUGGCGGCGCUUAAUGAUCAUCGCAUGUUUGCGCCCCUUUUUUCCCAGACCGCGGUGUGGGUCUGUUUUGCCAGCAGCCUUUGUGCCUGCCCUCGCAUCUGCCGUCGCCGCCUGCCUUUUCAGCAUCUCUCGACGGACCUUUUCCCGGUCGCCCGGUAGCAUUCACCGACCGGCCGCGGCCGUAAUAUGAAAAAAAAAGAAAAACCAAUCUCGGCGACCGUUGUCGUUAACUUUUUGGAAAGGAUGCCGAGGCAGUGUGGUCCCUUUGCGCGCAUGGUUUGUAAACUGGCGGCCGACAAAGGACCUCAGCCGGUCCGGUGCGGUUCAUCCGGCAUGGAUGGAAUCCCAACCAACAAAUAAAACACAAUAAAAACGGGAGAAAAAAUCGAAACAGC